GACGAACGCUGGCGGCGUGCUUAACACAUGCAAGUCGAACGGAAAGGCCCCUUUGGGGGUACUCGAGUGGCGAACGGGUGAGUAACACGUGAGUAACCUGCCCUUGACUUCGGGAUAACUUCAGGAAACUGGGGCUAAUACCGGAUAGGAAUCCUUGCUGCAUGGUGGGGGUUGGAAAGCUUCGGCGGUGUUGGAUGGACUCACGGCUUAUCAGCUUGUUGGUGGGGUAGUGGCUUACCAAGGCUUUGACGGGUAGCCGGCCUGUGAGGGCGACCUGCCACAUUGGGACUGAGAUACGGCCCAGCCUCCUACGGGAGGGAGCAGUGGGGAAUAUUGCACAAUGGGCGGAAGCCUGAUGCAGCAACGCCGCGUGCGGGAUGACGGCCUUCGGGUUGUAAACCGCUUUCAGCAGGGGCGAAGCUUGUGGUGACGGUACCUGAAGAAGAAGCACCGGCUAACUACGUG
rnacentral:rRNA from 1 species